CGGUUGCUGAACGAUGCGUCAGGCUGAUUUAUCUCUGGGGCUAUAAAUAAUCCUUUGGGAGCUGCCUCUGCUAGGACUGUGGUCCCAGUAUAGUGGUGCCCACCUGUAUUUGCAGGCCACAGAGGAUAUUCAAUGUCAACGAUCGAGUCGGCUUCCGU
rnacentral:other from 1 species